rnacentral:lncRNA from 12 species
GGGGGGGGGGGGGGGGGGGGGGGGGGGGGGGGCGGCCGAGCCAAGCACGCUCCGCCUGCGCCGCCUCAGCCGCGGGUCCCGGCCCGGGGGAAACUCCUCGCCCCUCAGAGCACUGUUCCGCUUGGAACAAAAGCUGCCCGCAGCCCCGGAGCAGAAAAAUCAAAGCGGUUUCCUCUCGCACAGCAAGGACAGAGGGGUGAAAUCCAACACAGAGCAGAGACAGGACCAGCCAUGCUUUACUCUCAAAUCGUCAUCUGUGGGAUCAGAACAGCACGUGGGACCACAGCUGACAUGCUGCCAGGAGAUCACUUCCUCCCACUUCCAUUUUCCAGUCUCCACAGGCAAAGUUUGGGAAUCACCAUUUUACAAGCAUCAAUAACUUGAAAGAAAUUUUCCAAGCUCUAUCAACAACAUGUUUUGAGUUUGCAAGAGGCUCCAUUACAGAGAGCUCUUUAAAAUAUAGAAAUUAGUGAGAUCAAGAUAAGAAAAUAAAUACUGCUGACCUAACAUUCCUUUGCUGGGGUGAAACACGAGGCAAAUCGGGC